rnacentral:misc_RNA from 1 species
UUUCCGUAGGUGAACCUGCGGAAGGAUCAUUAAAGAAUUUGCCCCGUCCCCUCGAGGAUGGGUCCUCUUCUAAACCGUGUAUACAUACCUUUGUUGCUUUGGCGGGCCGCCGUCUCGGCGUUGGCUUCGGCUGACUGUGCCCGCCAGAGAACCCCAACUCUUCUGUUUAGUAUUGUCUGAGUACUAUAUAAUAGUUAAAACUUUCAACAACGGAUCUCUUGGUUCUG